rnacentral:miRNA from 1 species
GGUGACCAACUGCCCUGGUUUGCCUGGGACUGAAGGGUUUCCUGGUAAGCGGGGCUUUC